UACGGGGGGGGGCACGCGUUGUUCGGAAUUACUGGGCGUAAAGGGCUCGUAGGCGGCCCUCUCAGUCGGAUGUGAAAUCCCCAGGCUUAACCUGGGAAUGGCAUCCGAUACUGGAGGGCUUGAAUUCGGGAGAGGGAUGCAGAAUUCCAGGUGUAGCGGUGAAAUGCGUAGAUAUCUGGAGGAAUACCGGUGGCGAAGGCGGCAUCCUGGACCGAGAUUGACGCUGAGGAGCGAAAGCUAGGGGAGCAAACGGG
rnacentral:rRNA from 1 species